UUUCUAAAAUUGACUCCUUCUACCUUAGGCCAUGAACAUCAAUCACCCCUCGUAAAACAAAGUAAACAAGUAACACACAGAACGUGAGCUGCAGAGACCCCGAGAGCAAGUCCGCGGCUGCGCUCAAUUCAGUACUGAGGCGAGGGAAGCCGGGCCAGGAGCCUGCAGUGCAGCAACCCCUGACUACUGCGCCUCCACGAUGGUAGUAUGAGAAGAGAGUGAGACAAGACAAACACAGGCAGACCACGCUAAACAUUCUCCACUCUCACGCCUCGAUGCUUUAAUCUGUGUGGAGUAAUAGAGUCAGCGUGAGUUCAUUUUCCGCCUCCAGCCAUGGUCAUAACUGCACUCAACUGAAGUGGACUUGCAAUCAUUGUGGACUGUCAGUGUGGGUAAUUACUGCCUUCUGGUGUUGUUUACUACAGUGGGAAGAACACCUCGCACAACACCCUUAGUUCAAAAGCCAUGAGUUACAGAGGAGAUCAGUCCCAGGAGGAAUGACCUGAAGACCCAAUCCCACUGCCAAAAGAACUCAAGGUCCUCGAGUGUCUGAUCAAGCAAUAGAGUGGAAGUUGUCCUUGAGAAUGGUGGAGCGUGCUUUCAGGCAGUUGUAUCUUCUGCCCGAUAGGAAGGAGAGGAGGGAGAAAGUCUGGGGUUCUUUUGAAGACCCUGUCCUGGAAUUACAGGCUGACUUCAGUUCUUUGCAGGAAUAGAACCAGCUCACAGGACUUCAUGACCAGCCAUUAUUCGACAUGCCAAUGAUGAGGCCUAAGAGUUCAGCUUGCUUUUGGAGGACCAGGAUCUCACGGCUCUGGAGACAGGUGAAUCGAAGGUCGGUGUCCCGGCAGGAAGUUGAUGUAUCGUGGGAGCCGAAAGAUCUCUGGCUACAUGACCAGAGACCCGAGAUCUUUGGGCACAGAGCUCGGAAAAAGUGACACAAUGGACUUUUAACAUCAUAAAGCAAUGAGUUGUUUGUUAUGUCUCCCCUCUCGCUGUGAAACGCAGACAUUUCUUUUUCCUUUAUUCAGCCAAGGAUGUUCACUUAGCCCACUACUCUACUCUCUAUACAUCCAUGCCCGUGUGGCUAGGCUUGGCUGAAAUGCCAUCUGUAAAUUUGCUGAUGACAUGGCUAUAGCUGGCAGAAUUUCAGAUGGUGACAAGAAGGUACACAGCAGCAUGAUACAUCAAUUGGUUGAGCAACACCUUAUACUCAACAUCAGUAAAAACAAAAAACUGAUUGCGGGCUUCAAAAUUCAAGGGAACACGUGCUAGUUUUCAAACAGGGAUCAGAAGUGGAAGGAGUGAGCAAUUUCAAGUUCCUGGGUGUCAGUAUCUCCGAGGAUCUGUCCUGGACCUAACAUAUUGAUGCAGUUUCAAAGAAGGCACGACAGCAGCUAUAUUUCAUCAGGAACUGGAAGAGAUUUGGUAUGUCAGCAAAGACACUCACAAAUAUUACAGAUGUAUCAAGAAGUGUGUAAUAACUGGCUGCAUCAGCAUCUGGUAUUAGGGGCGGGGUGUGUCUCUGCACAGGAUCGAAAAAAGCUGCAGAAAGUUGUGAAUUCAUUCAGCUCCAUCAUGCAUACUAUCUAGCAUCCUGGACAUCUUCAAGGAGCAAUGCCUCAAAAAAGCGGCAUCCCUCUUAUCAUCCAGGACCUGCACCUUCUCGUUGCUACCAUGCAUUAGGGAGAAGUUACAGGAGCCUGAAGGCACACACUCAAUAAUGCAAUUGCAGCUUCUUCCCCUCUGCCAUCAGAUUUCUGAAGGGACAAUGAGCCCAUGAACUCUACCUCAAAAUGAAGUUAGUCCAUUUCAGCUUAUGGAAUUGCCCAAACAUUGUCAGUUCAGUGAUGGGCUUAAUAAUGCGCUGAGAGAUCAUUUAGGCUGAAGAAUCUUACAAGAACGCAUUUUGAAAAAUGGCUCCUAAUUGAAGCACAACUCACAUUUAAAAGAGCAGUUGAAAUCACAGCAUCAAUGGAAACAGCAGCCAGAGACACAAAUGAGUUAGGAAAGAAAGUGAGCAUGUACAGAAUUGCAAAGUCUGAGCAGAAACAUGCCUGGCUGAACAAAUUGUGCUACUAUUGCAUCAGAAGCUCACAUACACCAUGCCAAUGCAGAUUUAAAGACGAAACUAAAAACAAAUGCAUCAUAGUAGGACACAUACAAAGAGUAGAUAAAAAUAAAUGAAAAGAGAAGGGAAGAAGAUAAAGUCAAGUUGCAGUUUUUAAAAGAGAACUAAUAUGUAUGCUGUUGAUGAAAACACUGAAAAUGAUGAGAGUGAUGCGGGACUGAGUAGACUUGAGAUUUACAGUGUAAAAACAAUAGACACACAAUAUUGCUUGCAUCAGAAUUGGACACCGGUUUAACUGUUUCAGUCAUUCCACAAAAUGAGUUUGAAUGGCAUCUCAAGGAUACUGAACCUAAGCCUGAAGAUUUUCAACUAACAACUUACACUGGAGAAAAGGUAACUCCUGUGGGAAUGACAUUGAUAACAGUGAAAUAUCCAACACAACACACAAGGCUUGUGCAUAGUGAAAACAAGGGAGUCAGCAUUGUGUGGCCAUGAUUGGCUGAGAUAACUGCAACUCGAUUGGAGAUCCAUCCACUAUUUGCAUGCCACAUCCCCUGCAAUAAAGUCAACUGAAAGCAAAUUAAGAAAGGUACUGGAUGAUGCUACAGCAGUGUUCAAGGAUAGCAUUGGAAAACUCAAACAUAUCGAGGGUAAAUAGUGUUUAAUGAAAAUGCCAUACUCAGGUUUUACAAAGCCCAUCUUGUUCCUCAUAUCAUACAUCAUAACAAAGCAGGGAUCUACUGCAGAUCACAUGGAGGUUGAAAGAAUUACUUCCAUGGAUGAGUGGACUACAUGGGCAACAUCAAUGGUCCCAGUAGCCAAGAAAGAUCAGUCAGGAUCUGUGGUGAUUUUAAGGUCACCAUCAACCCAGUACUGAAAGUAGAUCAAUACCCUCAGCCUCGGACAAAGGAUAUCUUCUCAAGCCUUUCUGGAGAGAAAAGGUUCACCAGAGUGGCCUUAGCUGAGGCCUAACUACAGAUGGAGAUGGAAAAAGAAUCCAAAAUGUUUCUCACCAUAAACACUCAAAGGGUGUCAUUGACUUAAUAGGCUUAUUUUUGGCAUAGCAUCUGGCAGAAAGCUAUGGACUACGUGCUGCAAGGUUGCCCAGGCACACAGUGUUACCUGGAAGACAUCAUUGUUAUCAGUAAGGAUGACAAGGAACACCUCGAGAAUCUCAAUACAGUGUUAAAAAGAUUAGAAAAUUAUGGCUCAGAGCAUGACACAAGAGUGAAUUCUUUAAAACAAGUAUCACUUACUGUGGUCUCACAAUUGAUGCACAAGAACUACACAAGUGUGCUGAGAAAAUUCAAGAUUGACAGAGAAGCCCUUGAUUCUGGUUUGGGGGGUGUAAGAUGUUUCAACCUGUCUCUGAAUGUGAGAAAAACAAAAGAGAUGGUUGUUAACUUCAGGAGGACACGGAGCGACCACUCCCCACUGAACAUUGACGGCUCCUCGGUAGAGAUCGUAAAGAGCACCAAAUUUUUUGGUGUUCACCUGACGGAGAAUCUCACCUGGUCCCUCAACACCAGCUCCAUAGCAAAGAAAGCCCAACAGCGUCUCUACUUUUUGCGAAGGCUGAGAAAAAUCCCACCCUCCAUCCUCACCAUAUUCUACAGAGGAUGUAUUGAGAGCAUCCUGAGCAGCUGCAUCACUGCCUGGUUCAGGAAUUGCACCGUCUCAGAUCGCAAAACCCUGUAGCGGAUAGUGAGGUCAGCUGAGAAGAUCAUCGGAGUCUCUCUUCCCACUAUUACAGACAUUUACAUCACAUGCUGCACCCACAAAGCUAACAGCAUUGUGAAGGAACCCACACACCACUCACACAAACUCUUCUCCGUCCUGCCAUCUGGCAAAAGGUACCAAAGCACUUGGGUUCUCACAACCAGACUGUGAAACAGUUUCUUCCCCCAAGCCAUCAGACUCCUCAAUACCCAGAGUCUAGACUGACAUCUACAUCAUUUAUUAUUAUAUUGUAAUUUAUCCUCUACUGUGCCUAUUGUCUUAUUAAUUGUUGUACUGCCCUGCACUGUUUUGUGUACUUUAUGUAGUCCCGUGCAGGUCUGUAGUCUAGUGCAGUUUUUAUGGUGUUUUAUGUAGUCUAGGGUAGCCUUGUGCUCUCUCACAUAGUCUAGUUUUGUGUUUCAUGUAGCACCAGGGUCCUGGAGGAACGUUGUUUCAUUUUUACUGUGUACUGUACCAGCAGUUUAUGGUCGAAAUGACAAUAAACUUGACUUGACUUGGAAUCACAGGCAGCAGAGGUGCUAGUACAGAUCCCUGCAGAACAUCACUAGUCACAGACCUCCAGCAUUUUGAGUGUGUUGCUUGGCCUCCCUGCAUCUGCAGGUUUUCUCUUGUUCCUUUCACUAACAAAACAUUUUCACCCACAGUACUGCCGCUCAUGAUGUUUUUAGUUUUUUGCACCAUUCUCUAUAAACUCCAGAGAACGUUGAGUGUGAAAAUCCCAGGAGAUCAGCAGUUUCUGAAAUACUCAAACCAGCAACCAUUCCAUGGUCAAAGUCACUUAGAUCAGAUUUCUUCUCCAUUCUGAUGUCUGGUCCGAACAACAACUGAACCGCUAGACCAUGUCUGUCUCCAUGCCUUUAUGCAUUAAGUUGCUGCUAUACAAUUGGCUGAUUAAGUUUUUCAAGUCAAGUCAAGUUUAUUGUCAUUUCGACCAUAACUGCUGGUACAGUA